rnacentral:misc_RNA from 1 species
CUAAAUAGUAAUUUUCCCAUUUAAUUAUCUAUACAAAAUUAUAACAAGUUCCAACAGUCAUAGAACCUCACAUAAAUGAAAAAAAAUGACAUGGAUCUUGCAUAGGAGGCAUAAAAGAAUGAGAGGAAAGUGGCAGGGAAACGCUUGAUCAUACGAAAGAUCCCCAUAUCAUGUAAAUCGAGAAGAGAAUUACACAUUCAUGGCUAUCAAAUUUGAACCAAAUUCUCAAUCAAUGUUGCUCUCUGAUACGUUGCCUCAUUUCAUGUGCACACAAUAUUUUGGAGGAAAAAAAAAUAAAGACAAGUAAAGCUCAUUCAGAACAAAGAGCACAUCAAUCUCUUAACAUGGUAGUGUAAGAGAGGACAACAAACACAAACCAUUGGUUCCUUUGAUAACCAUUUUAUGAAAUUCGUCCACAAAUUCAAUAGUUAUGUUCACAAAACCAUGGAAGAACAUCUCAACUUCACUUAUCCUGUUGAAUUAAAAAGCAACUAACCAUCUCUCCCACAAAGCACAUUCAUCUCUUAGAAUGAUAAUAUGAGGGUGGAAAAUUCAUUGGAUCGUUUGAUAGCCACUUCAUAAAAAUUCAUUGUGGUUUGUGUUAACUUGUUUGCUUUAAUAUCUCUUAGCAUUGGAUCUUUGGAUAGCCACUUCAUGAAAAUUUAACACAUGUUAACCGCUAUAUGCACCACAACCUAGAAUAACCUCUCAACUUCAAUCAUACUGUGAAUUGAAACCAGCCUUCCAUCUCCUCAAAAAUUAAAACCAGUUUAGGCUUGGAUGGUGAUCAACAUGUCAACAAUUCAAUCAGUAGUAGGUGUGAGGACUAUUCGGUUCAAACCAAAUUAACUGACCGCAUCAACUCAAUUCGGAAAGUCAAUUCAAUUUGAUAGGAAAUUUCGUUCAAUUCGGUUUUGAAGGAAAAAAAUUUUACUACAACUGAACUGAACCGAUAUAUAUUAAAUCUAAGAGCAAUAUGUUACAUUUACCUUGUAGCCCAAUGGUCAACCACCCUUCAAAGACAUGCCAGCCCAAGUUUCAAAACCCAACCUCACCUUUCUUUUUCUUACUUUUCCCAAUCAUUCAAUCUUAGCCAUCCAUCCCAUAGGUUGGAUCUUAGCCAUUCAUUUCCCUCAUAUAUAUUCAUUCUCUCACACUUUCUCUUAUCUUUCAUGCCGCCCCACCUACCCAAGUAAUCCAUCUUCUCUUCUUCCUUCAUUUCUUCUAUUUCCUUCAUUUCUUAUUUCUUCAAUCUACACCCUACCUACCCAAGUAACCAUAUUUUCUUCUUCCUAAAUUUUCUUCUAUUUCUUCAUUUCUUUUGUGAGCAGAACACCGCACCUAGGGGCAAUGCCACAUCACCUCCCUUUCUUUUCUUUUUCUUUUUAAUUUAUUUUUCUACAAUUUGUAAAUAUUGCUCUCUUAUUUUGGAUUGUGAUUUUGAAGAUUAUUAUUUUGAGUUAAAUGUAACUUUUGUUCAUCAUUAAUACAUUUCUAUUGUGUUGAUAAAAAAAUUUUAUUCCUGCUUGGAUGUUUGGUUGAAAUGUUGACAGUGGUUUGAGGAUGAGAAAGAACUGAAUUUUCGAACCGAACUGAACAUAUUUAGUUCGGUUUGAUUCGGUUUGGUUGUUUACAUAGAUUGACUCGGUUUGAUUUUUAAAUUUAUGUAAAAUUCAAUUUUUAGUUUAUUCGGUUGGUGGUCUUGGAUGUCAA